GAUACCCAAACCUAUAGGUAAUAAGUAUUUAUCCAUUUUAAUUUUAAUUUUUGAAAACACUUUGAUAAAAAGCGAUAUUUUUUCGGUUCAAUUUUGGGUUUCUCUUUUCAGUCUAGGUUGUUUUUUCAGUUUUAUUUAGGUUUAUAGGUUUUUGCGGUUUGCCUCUCGAGGUAUUUUUCACCAAAAUUCAUCACUUUUCUAUUCUAAUUAGUUCCAUUUUUUUUUUUUAAUAAUAGAAAAUGUAAAUUACCUAGAGUCCCGCUAAGUGGCAAAGAAUUUUUUCAAAAUUCCCAUCACACAAGACAAACAAAAUUGGUGAUCAAUUUCUCAUGAAAGUUAUGUUGUGAUCAUGAAUUUUGAUAGAAUUUGAACUUGAUGACUACGAAUUUGUUUUUCACUUGUCUAUAGAAGUUUGAUAAAAAUAAAAUUCUUCGUUAUAAGACUCUAAUAAUUGUCAUAAUUUUAAUACAUGAGAAUUUUACAAGAAAAAAAGAGAGGGAUUAGGUACUUGAAUAGUAGCAAUACCUCAAUGGUAAGUCAUAAGUGGAAGGUAGGUACUUGUAGGCAGUCAAAAAUUUUGAUGACAUGACAAUUUAACGAGGUAAAACGGAAGUUUCUUGAAAAAUUCAUGCUUGCUUUUAUUUUAUUUAAUACUUCCUUGGAAUUGAUAUAGUUGAUCAACAUUUUGGAAUUUUCAACAAUACUCCAGACUGGUUUGACUGAUUCAGUAACGAAACAUUAUAGGUCUAAAGACCUAAUAUUCAUGCUGCUUAUAAGUUACAUGGUAGUCUUAGGAGCACAAAGUUUCAUCCACUUGGUUACAAUUAUAUGUCUUCAUUUUAAUGAGCGUUCCGUACUCAAAUAUUCUCUGUUAUUCGGCAGUACUGCCCAAGUAUAUGGUGCAAUUUUCAAGUUUAUGAUCAGUUUGAAAGCGGAUCAGCAAAAUGCAUUUAAGGAAUUGUGCGAGGAAGCAGAAAGGUGUUCAGAGGUAAUCUUUGGAAAUUAUAAUCAUCAGAAAGAAGCUCAGAAAGGUUGUGAAUUCAUGACACUAAUAUUUCAAAGUGAUUUAAGGACAUUACAUUUAUGCUUCAAUAUUCUUGCAACAUUAGUAUUCCUCAGUUACUUAAAAUUUGAAGUGAUAAGAAAAAAUCUUGAACCUACAAUUUGGGAUGCAUGCGAUGUAUUUCGCUUUCGCGUUGCAAUCGAAGACGCCAAAGAAGCUGAUGACGUCUCACAUAAAAGUGGGCAAAAGAAGAGUGCGCAGAAAAAUAUUGCCUCCGAGGUGCCCACACAGCCUAUAUUUUCUGGAUUUGGGUUUCGGAUUAUGAGGUUUCGGAUUUGGUGUUUUGAUUCCAAAGAAUUAUUUAAUGUUAAUACCAAUCAGCGAACUGUUGAAAAAUUCUCAGCAACCAGUACGAAGAUUACACCAAGUACACCAGUGCAGGGCAUAGACGUGUAGUGUGUGCGUAGGUCUGGGUACCUACCCACCCCUUGCCAGUUCAUUCGUUGACAAGUCGGAAGGUUUUUUAUUUCUUUAUGGAUAAAAUUACAAAAAUUCUCAUUCCUGAAAAAUGAUAAAUUCUUCACAUGACUGUUGAAGAGGUAAUGCAAAAAGCGUAUUCUGAAAAUCAAAUUUUUUCAAGUCAGGAGUUUUUCUUUUUGAAAAAUUUGAAACAAAGUUAUUGUAAUAAAUAGGUAAAUAAGCAAAGUAAGUAAUCUGAAACCGAAUGCAAUAUAUUGAGAAUAAAAAAAAAUGUAUGUGAACCCCUCAAAUCCCAUUAUUUUAAAAAGCGAGACUUUCACGAGACAUUUUUCUCAACCAAAACUGAUCUCUAUCUCUUCCUCUUCCUCUACACAUUUGGCGCAUUUUGGACAUGGUGGGCACACUGGACAUACUGGACAACUUGGGCACCUUGGACAUUCUGGACAAGGAGGACAAGUUGUAGAUGUAGUGGUUCGUGGUCGAUAGGUAGGCCUUGGUCGUGGACAUGGAGGACAUUCAUCAGUUCUUGGAGGACACGAUUGAGAAGAUGAGUCGUCGUUGUCGUCGUAAUCCCAUUCCGUAGAUUCUUUCGAAUUGUAAUUUGAAUCUUGUUGGCGUUGUCGUUUCAUGGCGAUGGAUAUCGAUUGAUUAAGAUGUACGGAUGAUGUAUCGUCGCUUCUGCUGAUUUUAGAGUCAGUUUGCGAUACGCUAAAUUUUGUUUACAAUUCAUGCAACGAUUAUGAUCGUAAGAUGGUAAAAUAUAGUCUUAUCAUGUUUUAUUCUCUUACCUGGUUCUAAUAAAUGAUGAUUGUAACAAGUAAA